AUCAGUCUUUGGUUGGUUUUUCCUGACAGUAUGUGCGUCAUCCAAAUUGAGAGACAUCUUGCAAACAUCCGCGGAGAACAUAUAUUUUUCGUGUUUUAAUUCUACUCCUGAAUCUUCUUAACCUGUUUUAGAUGGAGCCCGAUCAGAAACAUGAUGACAUUGCUAUUUCUACACUUCAAGUUCAAGUGGAUGAUGUCAAAAAUGUUAUGACUCAAAAUAUUGAAAAGGUCUUGAAAAGAGAAGAGCGGCUGUCUGACCUGGCUGACAGAAGUGAUGAUCUUGAAACAGCGGCUCAUGGUUUCCAAAAAACCACUACAAAGAUCGCAAGGAAGAUGUGGUGGAAGAAUACAAAAAUGAUCAUCAUAAUUGUGGCGAUUAUCCUUGUUGUUGUGACUUUCAUUGUUCUCCUGGCCACAGGUGUUAUUCCAACAUGAAGAAUACAAGUAGCUAAAUGGAACAUAUGGAGAAUAUGCUGUAAAAUGUUCUGUAUUAAACACAUUUUGGUUUACUCAUUUUUAUAUAUAAAAAUAAAUAUAUAUUUAACAGCU